GGCUGAUUAGCUCAGUUGGUUAGAGCGUGAUGCUCGUAACACCAAGGUUGCUGGUUCUAUCCCCGCAUGGGCCA